UAAUCAAGAUUUGGUAGGUCACUCAAAUUGAUUUUGGUGUCUGCUUCAUGUGGUUCGUAUUCCAAAUACAAUUUAAAUCUUUUACCAUAAACUUUAAAUAUGACAUCGUUCUUUGGAUUUUCAAUUUCUAUGGCCCUAUAUGAAAAAAUAAUGUGAACGAUAAAUGGGUCAAACCAUCAAGAAUGUAAUUUACGUGGAAAUAGCUGUAGGUGAGAGUUGAAUAAAAGCAUUUUUCAUCCUAGUGUAAAAGAUUUUCUCAUGAUAUGCUUGUCAUGAAAGAUUUUCAUCCGCUCCUUGUAAUUGUUGGCACUUUCCUCUUCCUGGUCGCUUGUGAGUUAGGAAUAAAUUACCACUAAAUAGGUUUGUUGAUCUCUAAGGUACACAUACUUUAAUUCUUCUGGUAAGGGUUUCAAUUCCAGUUUUGGUGCUUCCUCUUCCUUUGUCUCCUUAAGGUGUAUCGUGUCUUCAAAGUUCAAUUAGCCAUUAUCAUCUUCAGGUACCUGCGUAGAAUUAAGUAUUGAGCAUAUGUUAACAAUAUUAUAUUCUAAUUCCUUACUUGAUUCAAAAGAAUUAGCAAAAUAAAUUUUCAUAGAGUUCCUAAGUUUCUCAUCCUAAAUUUGUUCCUCAAUGAUUGGCUCAAUGAGUUCAAUAUCCUUAUUCUCAUUAUCUUUAUCUUCUGUAUCGCGAGAUCGUUUACACAUGUUGAACACAUUGAGUUCUAACUUCAUGUUCCCGAAAGAUAAAUUCAUUACUCAAUUCCUGUAAUUAAUCAAAGCAUUAGCAAUAAUUAAAAAUGAUCGACCUAAUAUGACAGGAAUUUGCUUACAUUCAUCAGCAAUUGGUUCUGUUUCCAAAACAAUAAAAUCCACAAUAUAUAUGAAUUUAUCGAGUUGCAUUAAUACAACUUCAAUUAUUCCUUUUGGUACCUUAAUCGACCUAUCGACAAGUAAAAGAGUGGUAGAGGUUGGUUUUAACUCACCAAGAUUGAGUUGUUGGUACACUGAAUAAGGAAGCUAAUUAACAUUAGCACCAAGAUCAAGUAGAGCGCGUCUAAUUUUAUGAUCCCUAAUAAUGCAAGAAAUAGUUGGACAACUAGGAUCCUUGUAUUUCAAAGCAUUAUUAGUUGAGAGAAUGAAACUUACCUGUUUUGCUAGAAAAGCUUUCUUUUGCACCUUAUGUUUUCUUUUCACAGUACACAGAUCGUUCAGAAAUUUAGCAUAAGAAGGUACCUGCUUAAUGACGUCCAACAAAGGAAUAUUGACCUUUACUUGUUUAAAGAUUUCAUAAUUUUAUGGAAUGUGGUUUGAUUCCUUUGGCUUGAUUAGUACUUGAGGAAAUAUGGGUAUUGGAAGAGAGUUAGUUAUUUUUUCAUGGGUUAAAGAUUCGACAGACUCUUCAUACUCUCUUAAAUUGAAUCCUUACUAAUUUCACGAGGGUCCAGAAUGUGUUUUUCAAUAACUCUACCACCACGAAGGAUUAUAACUGAUUUAACUUGGCUCAUAUUUUGGUUUCAUGUAUUACCCAUUUGAGGAUGUUGUUGAAUCUUGAGGUUUGGUUCAGGUUGAGUAGGAAACUUACCUUUUUCAUGCAUGGUGAGGGCUGAUGUAAGUUUGGAGAUAGUUUUUGUCAAAUUGGUCAAGGUUUGCAUGAUUUGAUUAUUGAUCGACUCUUGUUUUUCAUGAAUGCAAUAUAUUUUCCAAAGUUCUUCUUGGUGGUGAGACAUAUAGUGGGUAACUCUAUGAGUUUUAGAAUUCUGACAUGGAAGAGUUGGUUAUGAAGGUUGUGUAUGAUUGUCAUUUCUCCAACUAAAAUUUAAGUGAUUUCUCCAACCAGAGUUGUAAGCUUGGGAGUAUGGAUUGGUAUUUGGCUUUUUGGAAUUAUCGAUGACAUUUACUUGUUCAUGCAAACUUUCUUUUAGAGUUAGCAAGAUUGUGCAGUUCUGUGUAGAAUGGUUAGUAGAAUUGGAAUCAUUCUUUUUCUCUAAUGCUUCGACUUUUCUAGCUAAGAAUGCAAAUUUGGCUUAAAGGUCAUCCCUAAGGUUGUACAUGCCUUUACCAGAUGGAGAUGACUAGGGUUUACUCAAUGACUUAUAUAAACCAACAAUGUCCCAAUGUUAUGCAUUCUCUACUAUAUAAUCAAGAUAUUCUAAUGCAUCUUAAGGACUUUUAUCCCUAAAUUCACCAUUAGACAUCAUUUUAAUGACAUGUUCACUUUGGGAUAUUAGUCACCAUUACACUAACCUCCAUGUUUCAAAACUGUGGCGUGGGUAAAUGUUAAGUAGCUCUUUGUACCUAUCCUAACAUUGAUAAAGAGUUUCUCAUGGCUUUUGAGUGAAGGUGGUGAUUUGUCUUUUGAAAAAAUUUGUUCUGUGGGCUGAAAAGAAUUUUUUUCAAAAAAUUAUGCUUGCAUUUCAUCCCAAGUUCUGAUAGAUUUUAUAGCCAAGUUUUAUCUUUUUCCUUUAAUGAGAAAGGGAAAAAGUCUGAUUUUAUUCGUGUUACAAUUUUGAUCAGUACAAGUGUUACAAACUUCCUCAAAUUCUCUCAAAUGCAGGUAUGAAUUUUAAGAUUCAAAACCAUGAAAAGUAGGUAGACGUUAAAUGAUACUACGUUUGAAAUUAAAACGAGAUGCGUCAAGAGAAAAAACUACGCAUGAUGGUGACUCUGCUCUAGUAGGAUGCAUGAAAUCUCUAAGUGUCCUAUGUUGUUCAUGAAGAUUUUGCAAGGCUUGGUUAUCUUUGUGCUCUGAAAAGUUAUCAGCUCUGAUGUCGGCCAUGGCUAAGGGUGGUGGAAGUGAUUUUCUAAUUAAUCUGUCAUUAUCUGUACAAGACCAACAUCGCAUGCAAUGCUGAUGAUGUGUGUUAAGAUGAUGCACAAACAAAUGGAUAAUGCAUAAAAUACCAAAUGAAAAUUGCACAAUUAGAACAAAAUGAAAAUUAAAUAAGCAAAUAAUAUAAAUGUACAAAAAUUAAAAAUAAAUAAAUGCAAAAUAAAUAUAAAUUAAUUAAAAAUUAAUUAACUGAAAUUAAAAUAUUAGGCAAUUAAACCAACCAUAAAAAUAAAAUAACUAAAGGCAACAAGAAAAUAACACAUUAACAAAAUAUUAACAAUUUAGGCAGUAUUUUAAAAUUAGCCAUAUAAUAAAACAUAAAUUAAUUAUAGAAUAAAAGUUAUAUAAUUUAAUGUACAAGAAUAAAAAUAGAUAAACUGAAAUAGAUUAAUUGAAAUUUAAAUAACAAUUUAGAUAGUUGAACCAACCAUAUAAAUUAACAACAAAAAAAAAGUGCAGAAAUUAAAGGAAAGAAAGAAAAGAAACACUUAUCUUAAGAGGUUGAACUUUUCUCCUCCCCUUUUUUUAAACAACUUUUAAGAAUUACCAGCCAAUUAAAUUAAGUCUAGGCCUUAAUGAUAAUUUUAAAAGUCCAAAUUCAUGUCCAUUAUGUCCAUAAAGUCCAAAAGUCCAAGUUCAUAUAGUCUUCUAGUCCAAAAGUCCAAAGGAUAAGUCAUAAUAUAAAGAUUCAAGUUCCAAUUCAGUUUAGGGACUGAGUUGCAACAGUUUUUAGUUCAAAAUGAAAUUCUUCACAAGUUUUAUGGCAAUUCUAUGAUUAUAAGAGAGAGGAGGGAGCUAACUGAAAUUUUAUGAAAUAAAAUUAGAAAAAAAAAAAAGAGUGACGUUGAAGGAGGAUGCAAAACACAAAUAAUAAUUGACAAAAGAGAGCAAUAAAAUAAAAAUGAAAUUGACACCAAAUUUAAGAAAUUCUCCGACAACGAUGCUAAAACUUGACACGACUCAAAAGUAUUAUUACUUUCAAGUAUAAGAGUGUUUAUUUAUAGUAUAAUCUGGUAAGUCUUGAGUCGAACCACAGAGAAUUUAAAAAUCUAGUGGUCAAUUAUUAGACAAAAAUUCAUUGCAGAAAGAGAAAUUAAUAGGAACCAGUCUAAAAAUUGCUAAAGUUAUGGGAUCUACUUUCGGGUUUUAAAUUAUGGUCAUAACACUCUCUCAUAUUUGUAUUUUGUAUUUCUUUUGUCAGUUAAUUAUUAUGUCAUUUAAUUCUUAACCAAUCAUUAAUAUGGAUAAAUAUGAAAUCAAGUACUUAGUGUGCCACAACUAUAUUAGCGUGUCGAUAUUAUAUAAAAAUACCAUAUAAAUCCAAGGAGAUCUAGAUUUAUAAAUUAACAUGAUAUAAAAGAAAUCGGUAAAGAAGAAAAAUACAAACUAAUAAAAUAAACUUGAAAACUCACUUAAUAGAGUAAUUAAUUUAAUAAUUUGAAUCCUUAAACUUCACAUUUCACCUCAGCUUAGAAAGUUGACUACUCAUAUUGAAAAACAAAACACUCAUUUUAUUUAACAAACUUCCAAAAUAUAUUACAAGAGAAUGAACUGCACAAAAGAAUAAAUUUUUCUAAGCCUUAGUCACAGCUUCCUCUCUUCUCUCCCCCCUCUCUUCUCUUCGCCCCUCUCUUUCGUCUCAGUAUUCUUGAUUUUAUAGGCAACUGAUCAUGCCAUCUUCUUUUAUUUAUUAUUAUUUAUUUUAUUUUUUUAUAGUAUAUAUACAUAGAAAUGCCUGAUAGACAAGUGGCAAAAUGGCCACCUAACUAUCACGAGCUUGUUUGCUCACUUUUUUAUUUUAUUUUAUUAAUUAUAUCUCCUCAAUAAUACAUUCCAAAUGGCUCUAGGAAUUCUUCUUUGUUUUCCGCUUUCGGUCCAAUUUCUUCUUUAUUUCGAAAAUAUUUACAAUAUGAGAAUUAACAUACUGCAAAUUAAUUUAACACAAAAAUUUAUUAGAGGAGUAUUAAGAUAAUUUGGGAAUAAUGAGCUCAUUAAUUAACACUGUAAGUGAAAAAUUAAUAAUUUUAUCUUUAUUAAAUUUACACUUUUUAAUGUCAAUCAAAUGUCUCCAAAUCUCAUUAGUCUAAAAAAUUUCUAAUAAUUAGCUAAUACAUUUCUUGAUAUAUGUCAUCUGCAAGGAAAGGUAGUUGUGCUUGGAAAAUUUUUUUUGAAUAGCUUUCAUUAAAGUGAGUUCUCUGUCUUUCACAAUAAACGUUGGUAACAUAUUCUCUUCCAUUAUACUUUUUAGUCUCUUCAAUGCCCAAAUAUAGUUAUUCUCCCGCUCUGAUUCAAGAUUAGCAAAGCAAAUUAAAAAUGUCAAAUCAGUUAAUGUAACAUCAACUAUCUCUAGUAAUGACAUAUCAUGCCUAUUGAUUUUAUUUGUGCAAUCUAUAAUCAAUACUUGCGGGAAAGCUUGCAACAACUCUAUUGUAGAAGGGCAUGCUAAAAAUAAAUCUUUGAUGCAGUCUGUAUGCACAUCAUUUCUAUGCCACUCAAUAUAUUUAUGCUCAGUCAAUUUACUCAUAAAUAGUUGCAUUUAGAAACGCCCAGCUUAUUCUUUCACCUUAUAUUUUCAUCAGGCAUUGUAGAUUGCUCACAUUAUAGUGGCAUUAUGCAUAUAUUUUUUCUUUAAGACAUAUAAUAUAUCUCUUGGUUUAACAUUGUUCUUCAACAUAUCAACCAAUAAAUUGGUCUCCACUUUAUUAAGUCUACCAAUAAAUGCCUUCCAGAUAUUGUGUAGCAAAAUGGUUAUGGAACUCACAUAUCACUAUCAAUACCCAGUCAUCAUUAUUUGCUAUUUUCUAACCUUUUAGUUUAGAUGGACACUUACAUUUCUUUGUUCCAAGCCAUUUUGGCUUGUGACCUUGAGGACAUUUAUGUCUAUAAACAGCACUACUUUCACAUAUGAAAAUUAUCCUUAGUUUUCUACCAUUUGAUAUUACAUUAGAUUUUUCAAUCACAAUAACAACUCAAUUUCUCUUUCCAACAUCUCAUGUCCAUUCAAUUAGUGAUCCUCUAAUUGAAAAAAUAUGUAAACAAAAGAAAAUAUGGCUUACCUAACUAGAUAUUGUAUAUUAUGCAUGAGGAUAGAAACAAAAGAAGAAUUAAUUAAUACAUACUAUAUCAGUCUUUAAUGUAUUAGUGUUGUCCAAAACCACUAAUUCAUUUGAAACAUCACAAUUAUGAGUUAAUCUUUCAUCCUAAUAAGAAUGAAUGAUAAAUUAAAUGACAAAAAUAAGUUUAGUAUAUCAAAGACAAGAAAAUCAUGCAUACAAAAAUGCCAGUAGCAAAUUACUCAAACAGUCGACAUAUAUGCUUUGAAAAAUUUUAACUCAAUAAGCUAAAAGGUAAAUUAAUUCCUAACACAAUUGUAAACAAAACCGUAAAACAAAUCCCAUAAAACUAAGUUCUAAUUUUUUAUUUUUAAUCAACAGAGAAAACUAGAAGAUACUAAGCAUAAACUACUUUCCAUCACCAUGUGAACGAACCACUUUUAAAUAAAAAAUUGUUUUUAGAAAACAAAAAUUAAAACUUACUAACUCGUUUUCAAAUUCUUCCCAUGACAUAUCUUCUACCUCAAUCAAUGGAAUAUUAAGUACUUUUUCUUUUCCAGAUUCUUCCCUUUGCAUUUCUUUUUCCUUCGUCACUGCAAUAUUGACUUUUUUUUUUAAUAGU
rnacentral:lncRNA from 1 species